AACUGCUGUUCACCUGAAUAACAAGGAGUCACUGCCUGGCACGCCAACACAUUGCUCACCAUGUUCAUGAGAAUUAUGUCCUUUGCGCCUUGGACCACACUGGGGUUUCUUAACUUGCUUUUACUCUCCUGUUCCUGCAUAUUAAGUUCCCUUACCAGAGGUCUAUAAUAACAAGGUAAUGAAUCAACCACAUUUAUUUGUACACAAAAGGUAGGUAAAGGUAAAAGGUAAAGGACCCCUGGAUUGUUAAGUCCAGUCAAAGGCGACUAUGGAGUUGUGGCACUCAUCUCGCUUUCAGGCUGAGGGAGCCGGUGUUUGUCCACAGACACCUUUCUCUGUCAUGUGGCCAGCAGGACUAAACUGCUUCUGACGCAAUGGAACACCAUGACAGAAACCAGAGCACACAGAAAUGCCGUUUACCUUCCCACCACAGUGGUACCUAUUUAUCUACUUGCACUGGCAUGCUUUCAAACUGCUAGGUUGGCAGGAGCUGGGACUGAGCAAUGGGAGCUCACCCCGUCACGGGGAUCAAACCGCUGACCUUCUGAUCAGCAAGCUCAUGAGGCUCAGUGGUUUAGAUCACAGCGCCACCCACAUCCCUUUACUUUUCCAUAUGUGUGUGUGUGUGUGCGCGCGCGCGCGCUGCCCAUUUGACUGGGUUGCCCCAGCCACUCUGGGUGGCUCCCAACAAAAAAUAGUGAAAACACAAUACAGCAUCAAACUCUAUAAACUUCCCUGAACAAGACUGCCUUCAAGUGUCUUCUUAAAAUCACAUACUGUAGCUCUUUAUCUGUUUAGAAUCUGCUGGACGAUGGAGGUGGAAGCCUUUUAGGGCUUUCAGCAAAACCCUUUGAAUUGUGCUUGGAAACCUACUGGGAGCCAAUGUAAUUCUUUUAGGACCAGCGUUAUAUGGUCCUGGCAGCCACUCCCAGUCACCAGUCUAGCUGCCACAUUCUGGAUUAGUUGUAGUUUCCAAGUCACCUUCAAAGGUAGCCCCACGUAGAACGCAUUGCAGUCCAAGCGGGAGCUAACCAGAGCAUUUGCCACUCUGACGAGACAGGUAGGGUCUCAGCCUGUGUACCAGAUGGAGCUGGUAGAGAGAUGCCCUGGACACAGAAUUGACUUGUGCCUCUACACUAGUGAUGGCCAAAACUUGGCCCUCCAGCUGUUUUGGGACUGCAAUUCCCAUCAUCCCUGACCACUGGUCCUGUUAGCCAGGGAUGGUGGGAGUUGUAGUCUCAAAACAGCUGGAGGGUCAAGUUUGGCUCUAUACAUUGAUGGCACACUCAGAAGACCCCCAGCUAACUCAAGAAAAUCUUCAAACAGCCUUUUUGAGUUUCUAUUCUAUCUUACAAAGUAAGCACUAGGAAGAAAUAAAAGCAGAACAAGACAGAGAAUUGGAGGGGGGGGGAGAAAGAAGCUAACACUAAAAGAAAUGUUUGAAACAAGGAAUGUAAUAUACACCGUAUUUUCAGACGCAGCCCUAGUGCAAUAACUUAAACAGCACAGAUUACUACUUGGGGAAAUAAAAGGAGCAUAACUUUUAAACUUGAAAAAGCUCUCUUUGCUUGUUGUAAUCAAUCGCAAUAAUCCGUGACAGUGAUUUAGAUGAAGAUCAACUUUACCUUUCUUUGCUGAUGACACAGAACUAGAAGCAAUAAAAACUUAAGUGCAUUUGAAUGCACACAGCUAAUGGAUUGGAUGUGGCAUAUGCCAACAUACAAUGGCCGCGAAAUGAAUGGGAUCAAUCAAAAGAAGUUUGACAUUCUGGAAGACCUGAGGAUUCUACCUCCAGUUACCUAAUGGCUAAGAGGCUUGGCAGAGGUUGGAGCUCUGCAAUAUUUCAGCAGCUUGCUUGCUGACCCCAUAAAACGUAUUACACACACAACCCUAACAUGACCCUCGCAGUUGGCAGCUGUGGCAUUUAGCCAGCACAGGCGAUGGAGAUUGAUAUUCUCUUUCUAAAUACUUCAGAGCAGAAUGCUAUCCAGGUCCAUGUGUCUGAUGCCUGGCUUUUGACAACAUAAAAUACCACCCUGCCCAGAUAAUUGGACACCUCGGGGAACAUGAAAUUUGUUGGCAAAUAGAAGGGCAUUCAAAGGUCCAGCGCCGAGGGCCUUCUGGCGGUUCCCUCCCUGCGAGAAGCAAGGUUACAGGGAACGAGGCAGAGGGCCUUCUCAGUGGUGGCACCUUCCCCGUGGAAUGCCCUCCCAUCAGAUGUCAAAGGAAUAUCAUCAUCACCAUCAUCAUUUUUAAUUUGUAUACCGUCUUUCUAUCUUACAAUACUCAAGGCGGUUUACAAGCUGAAGAAACAAAAAAUAUACAUCUUAUAACAAUCUAAUGCAAUGCAAAAAUGUGAUAAUAAAACAUAACUUUAAAAUAGGCAACCUCCAUCAAAAAAGUAACAUUCAACAGUCAUUAGAAUAGUAUUAAAAAAAUCAACAUAUAAAAGUUAAACAGAAAUCCACUCAACAGUUGCAAUAAUAUCUAAACUAUAUAAAACAAUGGCAAGCCACAGUACAUAAAACAAUACAAUACACACUGAGAAGCAGAGGGUGGGGCAAGGCGGGUGGAAGGAGGCCUUGCCUGAUGGAGUCUCUCCCCUCACAGUUCUUCCUCCAGGACCAGCUCCCUUAUGAGGCCUCCUAGGGCCGGAGGGAGUGGCAAGGCAGGUGGAAUGAGGAGUCUCUCCCCUCACAACUACAGUGGUGCCCCGCAAGACAAAUGCCUCGCAAGACGAAAAACGCGCAAGACGAAAGAGUUUUCCGUUUUUUUAGUCAUUCCGCAAGACGAAUUUCCCUAUGGGCUUGCUUCGCAAGACGAAACGUCUUGCGAGUUCUUGUGAGUUUGUUUCCUUUUUCUUAAAGCCACUAAGCCGCUAAGCCGUUAAUAGCCGCUAAGCCGUUAAGCCGUUAAUAGCUGCUAAGCCGUUAAUAGCCGCUAAGCCAUUAAUAGUCGCUAAGCCGCUAAGCUGCUAAUAGCCGCUAAGCCACUAAGCCGUUAAUAGCGGCUAAGCCGCUAAGCCGUUAAUAGUGGCUACGCCGCUAAGCCGCUAAUAGCCGCUAAGCCGCUAAGCCAUUAAUAGCCACUAAGCCACUAAGCCGCUAAGCCGUUAAUAGCCGCUAAGCCACUAAUAGCCGCUAAUCCGCUAAUCCGCUAAUAGGGUUGCUUCGCAAGACGAAAAAACCUCAAGACGAAGAGACUCGCGGAACGGAUUAAUUUCGUCUUGCGAGGCACCACUGUAUCUGACUUUUCAAAGACAUCUGAAGGCAGCCCUGUUUAGGGAAGGUCUUUAAUGACAGAUGCUUUAAUGCAUUUUUAAGCUUCUGUUGGAAGCCGCCCAGAGUGGCUGGGGAAACCCAGCCAGAUGGGCGAGGAAGAAAUAAUUUGUUUGUUUGUUUGUUUGUUUGUUUAUUAUUAUUAUUAUUAUUAGGAAGGCAAUAGUAGAAGACACAUGAUAAUGAUGCAGAUUAGAGCAGGAUAGGGCCAGUGUCAGUGCUCAGCAACCUUGGGCUGUGGCGCCCCAAUUAGCUUUAUUUUAAAAUUUCCUACCAUGUGCCUGACAUGGCAUCGUUCUGGGACAGAGGUCACCCACCUUUGUAGGUCCAUAGGCACAUCUGGAUUUUUGGGUGCCCUUCCCCAGGGAGGCAUCAGCCGCCACCAAGGAACAGAGAGGAAAACACAUACCCGUGCACUUUCCUAUGUUCAGUAGUCACAAUUUGAGCAUGUGUGACACUAAAAUUUGGUGCCUCCCCCUGCCUCUCUCACUCCCUCCUACAGCACACACCAGGUAUAUAUUAUUAUUAUUAUUAUUAUUAUUAUUAUUAUUAUUUUGUGAACAGGGAUUUUCAACUCUAACGAAUGAAAAAUCAGAAAAGAGAAAGGCUUCUUUAUGCUGGUGAGAUGAGAGUUUGUUUCACUCGGAUUAGAUCUAAUAUAAAUGAGAUCAGGGGAUGCGGGUGGCGCUGUGGUCUAAACCACAGAGCCUAGGGCUUGCCGAUCCGAAGGUCGGCGGUUCGAAUCCCCACGACGGGGUGAGCUCCCAUUGCUCGGUCCCUGCUUCUGCCUACCUAGCAGUUUGAAAGCACGUCAAAGUGCAAGUAGAUAAAUAGGUACCUCUCCAGCGGGAAGGUAAACAGCAUUUCCAUGCACUGCUCUGGUUCGCCAGAAGCAGCUUAGUCAUGCUGGCCACAUGACUGGAAAAACUGUCUGCGGACAAACGCCGGCUCCCUCGGCCUAUAGAGCGAGAUGAGCGCACAACCCCAGAGUCGUCCUUGACUGGACCUAACGGUCAGGGGUACCUUUACCUUUAAAUGAGAUUAUCCAGGAAAAGCAAGUUUACACCUCUCACUGAGUUUCAGUACAUAUGUAAAAGGCUCAUUUAUAGUUAUAUUUUGAGAAUGCUUCGUGUUCUUAUGUAGCUGCAUUGUUUUAUACUUUCUGGAUGUCCCAUGAUCAUAGUAUAAAGUAGUUGUGUUCUUUGUUAUAAAUCAAGCACUGCUAGGAAUUGGCUCUUUUUGUUUUCCAAUGUAUUUCUUAUCAGUGAAAAAUGAAUUGCAUGUGGCACAUGCAAAUUUGUAUUCUUAAAAUGUGGCCCAGAGAGAAAAAAUUGAGAACCACUGCCUUAUAAGGUGUACAGAAGGGUUCAGGUCUGCUUUGGGUUGUCCUAGGAAACCUUCUUUCUAGUCUGUGCUGGGCGAUUGUGGUUGCCGAUAGAGAAAAGCUCAGAUGUCAUCUUUAAUCAGACCUUCUAAUAGUGAACUCAGGCAGAGAGUGAUGAUGGAUAUCUAUCCAGAACAAAGCCACCGAGACGAAACGGCAUUCUCAGAGAAAUCUCAAAGUUUAAAGAAGUACAAAAAUCUUUAAUUUUUUUAAGCAUUCAAAAAUAUUUUAAAAACAAAGCAGCCAGUGAGGAAUGGAGCAUAUCAUUUGGGCAAAAAAAGAAAAUAAGAAGAUGACUGACUAGAACCCCAAACAGGAGUUCACUGCAGAAGAUUCACUGCAAUAUUUUGCAACAUAAAUUGUUUUUUGCCUUUAGUUAAUGGUCCCAGAAGAUAAAGAUUCCGGAAUUGCUUCCUAGUCAAAAACACCAGUUCCUAGUAAAAAUCAAAUAAAAUCCUUAAUUAAAAUUAAAUAUAAAAUUAAAUUCAAAUAAUUAAAGCAAUCCUUCAUGGGCCUGGCACACAGCACUCUCAGUGGCAGGCAGUUUUAUGGCUCUGUUCCAGUUUUGGGUGCCUCAUCGAACUCAGCCCAGCUAGAAACACCCUUCUGCUGAUUCAGUGUUCCAGGUUGGGAUCCUUAGUCCUGAUUGGUGAAUAUGGAAGUCGUAAACCAUCAGCAGGGGUCGCAAAAGACUGUCCCUCUGUUCCCAGUGCCAUAAGUUUUUAUCCUCACUCGCUGGAUCUAAAAAAAUGUAGUAUAAACACUGACAACUGGGAAACACUGGCCUGCGAGUGCUCCAGUUGGAGAACAGCCUUGACCAAAGGUGUCAUGGACUUUGAAGACACUCAAACUCAGGAUGCAAGGGAGAAACGUGCUAAGAGGAAGGCACGCUUGGCAAAUCCACAUCGUGAUCAACUCCCGCCCGGGAACCAAUGUCCCCACUGUGGAAGGAUGUGUGGAUCCAGAACUGGCCUCCACAGUCACUUACAGACUCAUUCUUAAAACCGUGUUAAUGGAAGACAAUCUUACUCGGCUACGAGUGAUCACCAAAGAGAGAAGAAAUAUAAGUUUUUAUCACCCAUAUGUGAGAUGUGGUAGGUUCUGGCAGAUGGGAUCCUCAUAACAGAGGGUCCUGGUUGCGCGCGGGACCCAAGAACUCACCUGACAGGGUUAAAAUGGGGGGGAGGAGCAAGAGGUCCUGGCCGUUCCCCUGGGAUCAUGCAAGGCGAUUUUAGCCAAUACCCAGUGGGUGGCGUGAUCCAUGGGGCUUUUAAAAAAGCUGACUUACACCAACACAAAGAUGUAGUAGUAGUAAAGGUAAAGGUAAAGGGACCCCUGACCAUUAGAUCCAGUCGUGGCCGACUCUGGGGUUGCAAUCAUCUCGCUUUAUUGGCCGAGGGAGCCAGCAUACAGCUUCCGGGUCAUGUGGCCAGCAUGACUAAGCCACUUCUGGCGAACCAGAGCAGCUCACAGAAACGCUGUUUACCUUCCCGCCGGAGCGGUACCUAUUUAUCUACUUGCACUUUGACGUGCUUUCGAACUGCUAGGUUGGCAGGAGCAGGAACUGAGCAACGGGAGCUCACCCCAUCACGGGGAUUCGAACCGCCGACCUUCCGAUCGGCAAGCCUUAGGCUCUGUGGUUUAACCCACAGCGCCACCUGCGUCCCUAGUAGUAGUAGUAGUAGUAGUAGUAGUAGUUUUGUCAUUAUCAUUAUUAUCAUCAUCAUCAUUUUGUUUGUUUGUUUGUUUGUUUGUUUGUUUGUUUUGUAUACCACCCUUUGCCUGCAAGUCUCAGGGCAGUUACAACAUAAAAUCAGAAUAUAAAAACACAAAAUACAUAAUCAAAAACAACCCAAUAAUCCCCCCCAUUUUGAUCAUUUUCUGGACUUUGUAAAGUUUGUCUCUCAAACAGAAGUUCCUUUCUAGCUUUCGAAGGUGUAUUAGAUAUGUAUGUGCGCUGAAAAUGUACAGUGGUGCCCCACAAGAUGAAUGCCUCGCAAGACGAAAAACUCGCUAGACGAAAGGGUUUUGCGUUUUUUGAGUCGUUCCGCAAGACGAAUUUCCCUAUGGGCUUGCUUCGCAAGACGAAACGUCUUGCGAGUUCUUGCGAGUUUGUUUCCUUUUCUUAAAGCCGCUAAGCCGUUAAUAGCCGCUAAGCCGCUAAUAGCCGUGCUUCGCAAGACGAAAAAACCGCAAGACGAAGAGACUCGCGGAACAGAUUAAUUUCGUCUUGCGAGGCACCACUGUACAUGGAUUUGAUGCUCAUUGUGACUAUUGCGGCCUUGCCUAAAGAAUCCUGAGAACUAUAGUUUGGCAAAUGACCGAAAGAUCAGUGUUACAGGUCUCUAGCCUACAGUUCUCUGGUUCCCUGAAAGUGAGAGGGGGAAUGGCUGAUAAACUAGUUCCGCGUCUUAGAAGUGGCCUCUAUCCGGCCCGGAACUGAAUAAAACUUUCUUUGCACUUUGCCCCACUGCAAACAUUCAGCCUUCGUCUCUUUCUGAUGGAUCCUGGAAAGAAGAAGCUCGUCUGUGGCAAGUUCUCCUUUUAAGAGUGCAGGUUUUUUAAAGAUGUUCAGAGUCGGAAGCAUCCUGCCUGAGAUGGAUUGGGUGGCAGAGAUCCAGCAAUCGAUGCCACAAAAUAAAUGCAGCUUAUUGAAAGAGGCUUGGAGAGUUCAGGCCAGCAGAGAAGAGCUCACAUUACAAAUGACGGAAAGGCAAGACCCCUUGAUAUUGGUAAAGGACCCCAUUUUCACAUGGAAUGGGGGUGUGGGAAGAGAAGCUUGUAAAUAUUGGCCUGUAUUUGGUGUUCCUUAGCUCCACCCUGCUGGGACGCAGGUGGCACUGUGGGUUAAACCACAGAGCCUAGGACUUGCCAAUGAGAAGGUUGGCGGUUUGAAUCCCCGCGAUGGGGUGAGCUCCCGUUGCUCGGUCCCUGCUCCUGCCAACCUAGCAGUUCAAAAGCAUGUCAAAGUGCAAGUAGAUAAAUAGGUACCACUCCAGCGGGAAGGUAAACGGUGUUUCCGUGCACUGCUCUGGUUCCCCAGAAGCGGCUUAGUCAAGCUCCCUUGGCCGAUAAAGCGAGAUGAGCGCCGCAACCCCAGAGUUGAUCAUGACGGUCCCUUUACCUUUUACAUAGCUCCACCCUCCCUGCCACACGCAAACACACUCAACUUGUAGCCUCAGUAGAUUGGCAAAUUCUAUGGGAAGAGCAAUAAUGUGUUUGCAAAUAAAUUUGUUGGAGAAGGUACAUUUUGCACACUGCAUGGUUAUGAUGUGUGCACUUUUUGCACACAAACCUGAAAUUCUCGUACGCAAUCCAACACUCCGUCUUGUGGAUCUUUCAUCAUCAAGACCUGGAUACGCUCCAGAGUUUGGCACCCAAAAAGUUAACGCAGAGGGCAGUGAUAAAUCAGAAGUAAACAUUAGGCUAUCAGUGGGAAUUAGUGCAUUGACUAUAACAGAAAACAAACAAAAUAAGAAAACAGUAGGCAAAUGUCAGCUUCAGUUUAGGAGAGUUAAAAUGAGUACAACGGUUAUUCUUAGCAGCUUUCCUAGAAACAUACAGUAAAACUAGGAUGUGGUCAGAGAAAGGGGAGAGAGGGUGUUGGAUGAAGAGGUGAAGGUUAUACCACAUGGGUAAGCAAACUGAAGCCCGGGGGCCGGAUCCAAUCGCCUUCUAAAUCCAGCCCACAGAUGGGCCGGGAAUCAGCGUGUUUUUUACAUGAGUAGAAUGUGUCCUUUUAUUUAAAAUGCAUCUCUUGGUUAUUUGUGGGGCAUAGGAAUUCGUUCAUCAUUAUUUUUUCCAAAAUAUAGUCCGGCCCCCCACAACGUCUGAGGGACAGUGGACCGGCCCCUGCUGAAAAAGUUUGCCGACCCCUGUUGUACCAUAAAGGCAGGGGAAUGAGGGAGGUUUGGGAUGUGGGGCUUUGGGGAGUUUUCAGAUUAAAGUCAGAAGAAAGGUGGGAGGCUGAGAUGAGUGAGAGUAGCAGGAGGCUGAGAUUUUGGGUUGAGACAACUAAAGAGGAAGAAAUAAGCACAGCAAGGGAGGGAAGAGGGCAAGAAAGAGGGGGCCUGACUGCAUGGGUGCAGCCAGGGGGCAGGGAGGGGCAGCUGCCCCCUAAAUAAAUAAAAAUAAAUUAAAAAAAUACAUAGCAAACUGAAGUUCUGCCCCUCCCCAUGACAAAAGCCCUGCAAAAAUCCUGGCUACGCCUAUGCCUGACUGAGAAUCAAAGCAGAAGGUUAAAGGGUUGCAGAAUAGGUUUCUGAUAGGUUGCAGAAGGAGAGUUUAAUAUUUUUUUCCUCAUUCUUUGGGGUUCCUGGUCUUGAUGGUGAGAGUCCUCAAGAAAGUUCUUGACUGGAGAGAGAGAGAGAUCUUUGGUAUCAAGAUUCCUAGCUAGCAAGGUGGAAAGCCUCACCUCUCCUGCAAUGGAUGGAUGCUGCCCACUGAGAAGAGUUUGUCUAAAACAUUUGCAAAAUGGCUUCAAUAUUCAAUAUAUAUUCAUUCUGUCUGUCUCUGUCUGUCUGUCUGUCUAUCUUACUCUGGUGUCUAGGUGACACGGGGGGGGGGGGAGAUUAACAUAUCUCAGGAUCACUACCCCUCCACACCUACAGAAAUUAAAUUGCCAACAAAUAUAAUGAAAAUGAUUUACAGAUGGUAUUUGACUCCUGUAAAAUUAGCAAAGAUAUAUCAUAACUGUGACAAUCUAUGUUGGAAAUGUAAAGAAAAGGAAGGAACCUUUUUUCAUAUGUGGUGGACUUGUCCCAAGGUGAAAAAUUUCUAGGAAAAGAUUUAUAAUGAACUGAAAAAAAUGUUGAAAUAUACAUUUAUAAAGAAACCAGAGUAUAACAGGUUUGGGAUUCCCCAGGAAAUAUGUUAAAUUAUUUUUGUAUGCCACAACUGCGGCUCAUAUUUUGUUAGCUAAAAAGUGGAAAACCCAAGAAUUACCAAUGAUAGAAGAAUGUCAGAUGAAGAUGAUGGAUUCUUCGGAGCUAGCCGACCUAACCGGAAGAGUCCGCGACCAGGAGGAGGAGGCGUAUCAGGAAGAGUGGAUUCAAUUUAGUGAUUACUUAGUUAAAUAUGUUAAGUUAAAUUAACUGAAAACAGCUUGCAGACAUUUCAUUGGCUUAAGAUUUUAUUUAUGUUAAGUGUCGAAUUAAUAUGUUUAAUUUCAUAAUGUGAAGAUCUAAGGAUGUUAAUGUUUAAGUUAAAUUUUACAAGAACUGUGAUUUGGAAAACUGUUAAAAAGAUAUGCAAUGAAAUUCAACCAAGGGGAAGCGAGGAAGUCACUUAACAAUGUUAAUAAGUGUAAUUUCAAUAAGGCUAUGAUUUAUGUUUGUUUGUCUUAUGUGUUUGUUUGUUUAUAAUCUUGUGAAAACCAAUUAAAAAAAUUGAAGGGGAAAAAAAAAGAAAUUAAAUUGUCAACGGACUAGAAGGACCAUCACUUCCUUAGCAGAUUGCUGCUCCAUGCAAGACAGGUGAAUGGAGGUGAAUAAGAAGGUUCUCUUUCCUCCUCCACAGGCAAAAAGAAGAGGAAGGAGAGGAAACCACGAGCUCUUUGGAGAAAGGUGUGUGGAAAUUUAAGUAAAAGAAACGUGCUGUCACUGCAUCGCACCUCCUCUUUUGCUUACCCAACACCCCAGAGGGUGAGGCAGCUCAAGUCUGGCAGUCGAGAGUUGACCAUGCAAGCCAGCCUCAAGUCCAUCCCCAUCUGCAGAAAGAAGGCCACAGCUGCGGGCGGCUGUGAGGGCUUCCCUUGCUGCAAGGACCAAGGGAAGGCAAAGCCCUGAGGUCUAGCCAGCUCCUUGACAGUCUAGUUUUCUAAGUGAGGGGAGAAAGACUUUCUGUUGCUCAUCAGGCAAUGGUGUUUCCAUCUGCGUUGCUCCACCUCACUUUUCCCAGAUUAUGACUUUGAGAACAACAGCAGCAGCUGGGAAGAGAGGAAUUCAG